AGCCCCGUGGUGUAGUGGCCAAUCAUAUUGGAUUUUGGAUCCAAUGACCGCGGUUCGAAUCCGCGCGGGGCUA
rnacentral:tRNA from 1 species